GGCUUGUCUGAAGGUAGUUAUCUCAAUUGACUGUUCAGUCAGUUACAGAUGGAACUCCUUGUUCUACUCUUUCCCACCUUACUACUGCACUUGACUAGUCUAAA
ensembl:misc_RNA Y_RNA Y RNA